rnacentral:rRNA from 1 species
UACACAUGCAAGUCGAACGAUGAAGCCUAGCUUGCUAGGUGGAUUAGUGGCGAACGGGUGAGUAAUACGUGAGUAACCUACCUUUAACUCUGGGAUAAGCCUGGGAAACUGGGUCUAAUACCGGAUACGACCAAUCUCCGCAUGGGGUGUUGGUGGAAAGCGUUAUGUAGUGGUUAUAGAUGGGCUCACGGCCUAUCAGCUUGUUGGUGAGGUAACGGCUCACCAAGGCGACGACGGGUAGCCGGCCUGAGAGGGUGACCGGCCACACUGGGACUGAGACACGGCCCAGACUCCUACGGGAGGCAGCAGUGGGGAAUAUUGCACAAUGGGCGCAAGCCUGAUGCAGCGACGCCGCGUGGGGGAUGACGGCCUUCGGGUUGUAAACCUCUGUUAGCAGGGAAGAAGAGAGAUUGACGGUACCUGCAGAGAAAGCGCCGGCUAACUACGUGCCAGCAGCCGCGGUAAUACGUAGGGCGCGAGCGUUGUCCGGAAUUAUUGGGCGUAAAGAGCUUGUAGGCGGUUUGUCGCGUCUGCUGUGAAAGGCCGGAGCUUAACUCCGUGUAUUGCAGUGGGUACGGGCAGACUAGAGUGCAGUAGGGGAGACUGGAAUUCCUGGUGUAGCGGUGGAAUGCGCAGAUAUCAGGAGGAACACCGAUGGCGAAGGCAGGUCUCUGGGCUGUAACUGACGCUGAGAAGCGAAAGCAUGGGGAGCGAACAGGAUUAGAUACCCUGGUAGUCCAUGCCGUAAACGUUGGGCACUAGGUGUGGGGAACAUUCCACGUUUUCCGCGCCGUAACUAAC